rnacentral:tRNA from 1 species
AUUUAUAUAAUAUAAUAAGUAUAUUUGACUUCCAAUCAAAAAGUUUAAAAACUUAAUAUAAAUA